UUAUUUGAUUUAGCGCUUCUUUGCUGGAACUUGUAUCUCCUUUCAUCUGUCGUCUUAGUUCUAUAAGGGUUUUAGUAGGUUGACUUAGUUUUUCAUCUUUUUGGUUUGUUGGACAGUAUUUAGUUUGAGCCUGUUGUAUUGUGGUGAUUAUUUGCUUGUUCAGUAUAUUAAUGUCUGUUGUUGUUGUAUCUUUCAAUGUAUCAUUAAUAUAUUUUUCGAACUCCUGAAUAUUAGUUGGUUUUACCCAUUUCUUUGGGUGUUUCUUAUUUAUCAUUUUGAGUCUUUCCUUUUCGAUCGAUAUCGUUAUUUUAGCUCUUA
rnacentral:lncRNA from 1 species